rnacentral:rRNA from 1 species
GCGUCUAUAUACGUAUAGCAUAUCAAUAAGCGGAGGAAAAGAAACUAACUAAGGAUUCCCUUAGUAACGGCGAGUGAAGCGGGAAGAGCUCAAAUUUGAAAUCCUCAAGGUUCUACCUUGACGAAUUGUAGUUUAAAGAAGUGUUUUCUGUUGGAGUUUUGGUAAAAGUUCUUUGGAAUAGGACAUCAUAGAGGGUGAGAAUCCCGUAUUUGACCAUUUCUUCCAGCUGUGUGAUACACUUUCAAAGAGUCGGAUUGUUUGGGAAUGCAGUCCAAAAUGGGUGGUAAAUUUCAUCUAAAGCUAAAUAUUGGCGAGAGACCGAUAGCGAACAAGUACCGUGAGGGAAAGAUGAAAAGAACUUUGAAAAGAGAGUUAAACAGUACGUGAAAUUGUCAAAAGGGAAGCGUUUGACACCAGUGUUGUUUUCUCGAAAAUCAAUUAAAAAUGAUGGGAUUUUGUGUUGUAUUGACUUUAUCAGCUUUCUGCACUUUUUUCCUAUCUUUUUUAAUGCACUUUUCGUUUAACAAGUCAACAUCUAUUUCUUUUGUUGUAAAAGAGUCAUUGGAAGGUGGCUUUCUUUUCGGAGAAAGUGUUUAUAGCCUUUGGCUUCUGCAAUCGGAGAGAUUGAGGUCUGCAGCGUAGAUCCUUCGGGGUUAGAUACAUUUGUGCUAAGUUAUAGCCUUUCAUAGACAACUUGUUGACUAUGAUCAGUCAUGUAGCUUACUCGCUUAUGUCAUUUUACCUACGCUUAGGAUGUUGAUAUGCAUGACUGAUAU